UUCUAAAAUGACAGAAAUAUGUAUAAGAUUUAAGCUCUUACUAUGAAGAAUCUUCUUCUUUUAGAAACC
rnacentral:tRNA from 1 species